AUGCAUUCAGUGGAUACUUUUGGAAUGUGGAUUAUGACUUUCCAGAACUCCAGUUCUUGCUGAUUGAAAAAGCGGAUGUGGCUAACUGGGCAGCCUCAGCAACUCAUUUCCCGAAGCUUAGGUGGCUUGUAAUUAAAUCAUGUGAGCGCCUGCAACAAAUACCAGAGGGUUUGGCAACAAACCUGGAGAAGUUGGAGAUUGAGAACAUCAGAAAAGUGUAGUUGACUCAGCCAAGGCAAUAGAGUCAAUCAAAAGUCUGGCAGUACAGAACCAACCAUCCAUUUCUAGGGUUCCAUUUAAUCUCACCAUUGGCACCAUAUAGUUCUAAUCAGUGGGACAAUCUAUCAAUGGAGACUGCAUAAUCAAAUCAGGACAGACAUAUAUCAAGAGCCAUCUCUUGUAAGGCUUGUUCAUCACCUUCUCACAACUUCAAGUCAUGAAAAACUGCAAAAAGGUAAAUGUUUCAUGCUUCUUGUAAUAAAGUAAUGGACACUUUAAUUGGUUGUGUUUUGUGUAAUGGAAAAUAUGAUGGAUUCGAUAUUAACUUCUCCAUUAUUUUUGUGUUUGCUUUUGUGAA